GCUGGAACACGUGACGGGGCGUGGCCUCGUCACCGAAACCAACACCGAGACCCUUUCCAGGGCCUUAAAGGAACCGCCCCUCACCUGAACAAAUGCCUUGAAAGUGAGAUGCCGCAAAGAUGAGGAAACCAAAAAUCAACAAGGUUAAAUAAAUUGCUGGAGAUUAUAGGGGGAGAGCACUAAGGUGGACCGACCCUAUGGCUAAUUUCCCAUGACGCCAGACAGAGAGAUCCCAGAAAAGACCUCAGAACUGUCCUGAAGGCCUGAAGAAGUGGUAUUACUCUUACCUUACCGCCUACUAAGCUCCCAGCACAACUCGAAACUCCUAACCCAGUGUCUUGUGAUUUUGCCCUAUGUAAUCUGUAACCUAUGUAUCACUGAGGAAUUCAGGCUUUUGAGCAUUAGCUUCCCGUUCUACUGGAUGGCGCCAUUCAUCAAUAAAAUAGCCAAUAU